GGCUCCCACAUCAGGGUUCUAACGUGAUGGACAGGCAUGACAUUUGGGCUGUCCGUCACAAAUGUUAAUAACAGAAUUAUUCUCAAGUUUUUGACUCUGAUGUAUGGACCUUAUUUGUAAGAAACCUCAAAUGGAGAAUGAGAUAGACUGGAGUGAAGCGAACCAAUACAAAGCAUGAAUGAGUCUGGAUCAAACCUACAGUUCUGAAAUCCUUCAAAAGGCCCAUGCAUUUUAAUUUUACUGUAGGUAUGAAGAGAGGGAAAUCAGUUCUGAUAUGGCUGAAGUCGAUGUGAAGAAAUCUGCAGAAGG